UUGAUGGAGUGCUUGCACUCCUGAUAGUUAGCGGCGGACGGGUGAGUAACACGUAGGUAACCUGCCCAUAAGACUGGGAUAACCCACGGAAACGUGAGCUAAUACCAGAUAGGCAUUUUCCUCGCAUGAGGGAGAUGAGAAAGGCGGAGCAAUCUGCCACUUAUGGAUGGACCUGCGGCGCAUUAGCUAGUUGGUAAGGUAACGGCUUACCAAGGCGACGAUGCGUAGCCGACCUGAGAGGGUGAUCGGCCACACUGGGACUGAGACACGGCCCAGACUCCUACGGGAGGCAGCAGUAGGGAAUCUUCCGCAAUGGACGAAAGUCUGACGGAGCAACGCCGCGUGAGUGAUGAAGGUUUUCGGAUCGUAAAGCUCUGUUGCCAGGGAAGAACGCCUAGGAGAGUAACUGCUCUUAGGGUGACGGUACCUGAGAAGAAAGCCCCGGCUAACUACGUGCCAGCAGCCGCGGUAAUACGUAGGGGGCGAGCGUUGUCCGGAAUUAUUGGGCGUAAAGCGCGCGCAGGCGGCAAUGUAAGUUGGGUGUUUAAACCUAGGGCUCAACCUUGGGUCGCAUCCAAAACUGCAUAGCUUGAGUACAGAAGAGGAAAGUGGAAUUCCACGUGUAGCUGUGAAAUGCGUAGAAAUGUGGAGGAACACCAGUGGCCAAGGCGACUUUCUGGGCUGUAACUGACGCUGAGGCGCGAAAGCGUGGGGAGCAAACAGGAUUAGAUACCCUGGAAGUCCACGCCGUAAACUAUGAAUGCUAGGUGUUAGGGGUUUCGAUACCCUUGGUGCCGAAGUUAACACAUUAAGCGUUCCGCCUGGGGAGUACGGUCGCAAGAAUGAAACUCAAAGGAAUUGACGGGGACCCGGACAAGCAGUUGAGUAUGUGG
rnacentral:rRNA from 1 species